GAUGAACGCUGGCGGCGUGCCUAACACAUGCAAGUCGAGCGAUUUACUUCGGUAAAGAGCGGCGGACGGGUGAGUAACGCGUGGGUAACCUGCCCUGUACACACGGAUAACAUACCGAAAGGUAUGCUAAUACGGGAUAAUAUGCUUUAGUCGCAUGGCUGAAGUAUCAAAGCUCCGGCGGUACAGGAUGGACCCGCGUCUGAUUAGCUAGUUGGUAAGGUAACGGCUUACCAAGGCGACGAUCAGUAGCCGACCUGAGAGGGUGAUCGGCCACAGUGGGACUGAGACACGGUCCAAACUCCUGCGGGAGGCAGCAGUGGGGAAUAUUGCACAAUGGGCGAAAGCCUGAUGCAGCAACGCCGCGUGAGCGAUGAAGGCCUUCGGGUCGUAAAGCUCUGUCCUCAAGGAAGAUAAUGACGGUACUUGAGGAGGAAGCCCCGGCUAACUACGUGCCAGCCGCCGCAGUAA
rnacentral:rRNA from 1 species